UCGUCACACUAUCAUUAACUGAAUCCAUAGGUUAAUGAGGCGAACCGGGGGAACUGAAACAUCUAAGUACCCCGAGGAAAAGAAAUCAACCGAGAUUCCCCCAGUAGCGGCGAGCGAACGGGGAGGAGCCCAGAGCCUGAAUCAGCAUGUGUGUUAGUGGAAGCGUCUGGAAAGGCGCGCGAUACAGGGUGACAGCCCCGUACACAAAAGCGCAUGUGCUGUGAGCUCGAUGAGUAGGGCGGGACACGUGGUAUCCUGUCUGAAUAUGGGGGGACCAUCCUCCAAGGCUAAAUACUCCUGACUGACCGAUAGUGAACCAGUACCGUGAGGGAAAGGCGAAAAGAACCCCGGCGAGGGGAGUGAAAAAGAACCUGAAACCGUGUACGUACAAGCAGUGGGAGCNNNNNNNNNNNNNNNNNNNNNNNNNNNNNNNNNNNNNNNNNNNNNNNNNNNNNNNNNGGGCGUUAAGUUGCAGGGUAUAGACCCGAAACCCGGUGAUCUAGCCAUGGGCAGGUUGAAGGUUGGGUAACACUAACUGGAGGACCGAACCGACUAAUGUUGAAAAAUUAGCGGAUGACCUGUGGCUGGGGGUGAAAGGCCAAUCAAACCGGGAGAUAGCUGGUUCUCCCCGAAAGCUAUUUAGGUAGCGCCUCGUGAAUUCAUCUCCGGGGGUAGAGCACUGUUUCGGCUAGGGGGCCAUCCCGGCUUACCAACCCGAUGCAAACUGCGAAUACCGGAGAAUGUUAUCACGGGAGACACACGGCGGGUGCUAACGUCCGUCGUGAAGAGGGAAACAACCCAGACCGCCAGCUAAGGUCCCAAAGUCAUGGUUAAGUGGGAAACGAUGUGGGAAGGCCCAGACAGCCAGGAUGUUGGCUUAGAAGCAGCCAUCAUUUAAAGAAAGCGUAAUAGCUCACUGGUCGAGUCGGCCUGCGCGGAAGAUGUAACGGGGCUAAACCAUGCACCGAAGCUGCGGCAGCGANNUGCUGGAGGUAUCAGAAGUGCGAAUGCUGACAUAAGUAACGAUAAAGCGGGUGAAAAGCCCGCUCGCCGGAAGACCAAGGGUUCCUGUCCAACGUUAAUCGGGGCAGGGUGAGUCGACCCCUAAGGCGAGGCCGAAAGGCGUAGUCGAUGGGAAACGGGUUAAUAUUCCCGUACUUGGUGUUACUGCGAAGGGGGGACGGAGAAGGCUAUGUUGGCCGGGCGACGGUUGUCCCGGUUUAAGCGUGUAGGUGUGUGUUCCAGGUAAAUCCGGUUCACUUUAACACUGAGGCGUGACGACGAGGCACUACGGUGCUGAAGCAACAAAUGCCCUGCUUCCAGGAAAAGCCUCUAAGCAUCAGGUAACAUCAAAUCGUACCCCAAACCGACACAGGUGGUCAGGUAGAGAAUACCAAGGCGCUUGAGAGAACUCGGGUGAAGGAACUAGGCAAAAUGGUGCCGUAACUUCGGGAGAAGGCACGCUGACACGUAGGUGAAGUGAUUUACUCAUGGAGCUGAAGUCAGUCGAAGAUACCAGCUGGCUGCAACUGUUUAUUAAAAACACAGCACUGUGCAAACACGAAAGUGGACGUAUACGGUGUGACGCCUGCCCGGUGCCGGAAGGUUAAUUGAUGGGGUCAGCGCAAGCGAAGCUCCUGAUCGAAGCCCCGGUAAACGGCGGCCGUAACUAUAACGGUCCUAAGGUAGCGAAAUUCCUUGUCGGGUAAGUUCCGACCUGCACGAAUGGCGUAAUGAUGGCCAGGCUGUCUCCACCCGAGACUCAGUGAAAUUGAACUCGCUGUGAAGAUGCAGUGUACCCGCGGCAAGACGGAAAGACCCCGUGAACCUUUACUAUAGCUUGACACUGAACAUUGAGCCUUGAUGUGUAGGAUAGGUGGGAGGCUUUGAAGNNCCGGGUUGCGGACAGUGUCUGGUGGGUAGUUUGACUGGGGCGGUCUCCUCCUAAAGAGUAACGGAGGAGCACGAAGGUUGGCUAAUCCUGGUCGGACAUCAGGAGGUUAGUGCAAUGGCAUAAGCCAGCUUGACUGCGAGCGUGACGGCGCGAGCAGGUGCGAAAGCAGGUCAUAGUGAUCCGGUGGUUCUGAAUGGAAGGGCCAUCGCUCAACGGAUAAAAGGUACUCCGGGGAUAACAGGCUGAUACCGCCCAAGAGUUCAUAUCGACGGCGGUGUUUGGCACCUCGAUGUCGGCUCAUCACAUCCUGGGGCUGAAGUAGGUCCCAAGGGUAUGGCUGUUCGCCAUUUAAAGUGGUACGCGAGCUGGGUUUAGAACGUCGUGAGACAGUUCGGUCCCUAUCUGCCGUGGGCGCUGGAGAACUGAGGGGGGCUGCUCCUAGUACGAGAGGACCGGAGUGGACGCAUCACUGGUGUUCGGGUUGUCAUGCCAAUGGCACUGCCCGGUAGCUAAAUGCGGAAGAGAUAAGUGCUGAAAGCAUCUAAGCACGAAACUUGCCCCGAGAUGAGUUCUCCCUGAGACUUA
rnacentral:rRNA from 1 species